UACGAAGGUGGCAAGCGUUGUUCGGAUUUACUGGGCGUAAAGGGAGCGUAGGUGGUGGGGUAAGCCCCGCGGGAAAGCUCCAGGCUUAACCUGGAAAGGUCGCGGGGGACUGCUCCGCUCGAGGACGGGAGAGGAGCGCGGAAUUCCCGGUGUAGCGGUGAAAUGCGUAGAGAUCGGGAGGAAGGCCGGUGGCGAAGGCGGCGCUCUGGAACGGCCCUGACACUGAGGCUCGAAAGCGUGGGGAGCAAACAGGG
rnacentral:rRNA from 1 species